rnacentral:rRNA from 1 species
AUUGAACGCUGGCGGAAUGCUUUACACAUGCAAGUCGAACGGUAGAGGGGGCAACCCCUCGAGAGUGGCGAACGGGUGAGUAAUAUAUCGGAACGUGCCCAGUCGUGGGGGAUAACGUAGCGAAAGUUACGCUAAUACCGCAUACGAUCUAAGGAUGAAAGCGGGGGAUCGCAAGACCUCGCGCGAUUGGAGCGGCCGAUAUCAGAUUAGGUAGUUGGUGGGGUAAAGGCCCACCAAGCAAACGAUCUGUAGCUGGUCUGAGAGGACGACCAGCCACACUGGAACUUAGCGACUGUCCAGACUCCUACGGGAGGCAGCAGUGGGGAAUUUUGGACAAUGGGCGAAAGCCUGAUCCAGCCAUUCCGCGUGCAGGAUGAAGGCCCUCGGGUUGUAAACUGCUUUUGUACAGAACGAAAAGGUUUCUACUAAUACUAGGAGCUCAUGACGGUACUGUAAGAAUAAGCACCGGCUAACUACGUGCCAGCCGCCGCCGUAA